rnacentral:rRNA from 1 species
CCUACGGGAGGCAGUAGUGAGGAAUAUUGGUCAAUGGACGAGAGUCUGAACCAGCCAAGUAGCGUGAAGGAUGACUGCCCUAUGGGUUGUAAACUUCUUUUAUAUGGGAAUAAAAUGUUCCACGUGUGGGAUUUUGUAUGUACCAUAUGAAUAAGGAUCGGCUAACUCCGUGCCAGCAGCCGCGGUAAUACGGAGGAUCCGAGCGUUAUCCGGAUUUAUUGGGUUUAAAGGGAGCGUAGGUGGAUUGUUAAGUCAGUUGUGAAAGUUUGCGGCUCAACCGUAAAAUUGCAGUUGAAACUGGCAGUCUUGAGUACAGUAGAGGUGGGCGGAAGUCGUGGUGUAGCGGUGAAAUGCUUAGAUAUCACGAAGAACUCCGAUUGCGAAGGCAGUUCACUGGACUGCAACUGACACUGAGGCUCGAAAGUGUGGGUAUCAAACAGGAUUAGAUACCCGGGUAGUC